GCUGGUGUGGCCCAGUGGUAGAGCACUUGUCCAGUACGUACAAGACCCUGGGUUCUACCCCCAGCACCACA
rnacentral:tRNA from 1 species